UACAGAGGGGGCAAGCGUUGUUCGGAAUUACUGGGCGUAAAGGGCGCGUAGGCGGCCUGUUAAGUCGAACGUGAAAUCCCCGGGCUCAACCCGGGAACUGCGUCCGAUACUGGCAGGCUUGAAUCCGGGAGAGGGAUGUGGAAUUCCAGGUGUAGCGGUGGAAUGCGUAGAUAUCUGGAGGAACACCGGUGGCGAAGGCGACAUCCUGGACCGGUAUUGACGCUGAGGCGCGAAAGCCAGGGGAGCAAACGGG
rnacentral:rRNA from 1 species